UACGUAGGGUGCAAGCGUUGUCCGGAAUUAUUGGGCGUAAAGAGCUUGUAGGCGGUUUGUCGCGUCUGCUGUGAAAUUUCGGGGCUCAACCCCGAACUUGCAGUGGGUACGGGCAGACUAGAGUGUGGUAGGGGAGACUGGAAUUCCUGGUGUAGCGGUGAAAUGCGUAGAUAUCAGGAAGAACACCCGUGGCGAAAGCGGCUCUCUGGAACGGUACUGACGCUGAGACGCGAAAGCGUGGGGAGCGAACAGG
rnacentral:rRNA from 1 species